GACAGAGGUGCCAAGCGUUAGGCGGAAUCACUGGGCGUAAAGCGCACGUAGGCGGACUCUUAAGUCGGUGGUGAAAUCCUGGAGCUCAACUCCAGAACUGCCUUCGAUACUGGGAGUCUCGAGUCCGGGAGAGGUGAGUGGAACUGCGAGUGUAGAGGUGAAAUUCGUAGAUAUUCGCAAGAACACCAGUGGCGAAGGCGGCUCACUGGCCCGGUACUGACGCUGAGGUGCGAAAGCGUGGGGAGCAAACAGG
rnacentral:rRNA from 1 species